CUUGCCGAUGCUCCCAGCUGAAUAAAGCCCUUCUUUCUACAACUUGGUGUCUGAGAGGUUUUGUCUGUGGCUCGUCCUGCUACAUUUCUUGGUUCCCUGACCAGGAAUUGAGGUAACUGAGGGAAAGCUGAGGCAGCCCCUUAGGCGGCUUAGGCCUGCCCUGUGGAGCAUCCCUGCAGGGGACUCUGGCUAGCCUGAGUGACGCGAUCCAAAGAGCGCUCCUGGGUAGGAAAUUGCCUGGGUGGAACACCCUACCAGAGCAGCAUGUAGCAGGCCCCCGUGGAGGAUUAACACAGUGGCUCAACACCGGGAAGGAACUGGCUCUUGGAGUCCGGACAUCUGAAACUUGAAUUAACAAGCCAACAUCAGUCUCCAGAGUGAAUCCAAGGAGAGGACCCAAGACAUUCAUGUUCUGUGAUGUGGUGACAUGUUACCUGUCAUCUCUGAUGCACAACUCCUAAAGUGUUUGCAUCUGGGGCAGUUGUACAGAUUGCAGAAGCUAAUACUCAAGAUGUUCUCCAAGGCCAACUACUCAUCAGUUUAUUCAUGUUUCUGGGAUUGGAUUCAUGAACUCAUCCUUUGAACUAUUUCAACAAGCUUUUUCAUGUAACUAAUCUGCGGAAGGUAGAAAGGGUAAAACUGUUGGGUGCUAAAAUGACAACUGGUUCAAGGUACAACGGCGAAUAUUUUUAUUUCUGCAACUUUUCUUAGAGGUUGGAAACUGGACUAGGCAGGAAGAUUCCGUUUUGUAAGAUUAGUCUCCAGUUUUCAUCAAGCAGUUUAGUGGGGUAUUUUAGACCCAGUUCCCUCUCCACAGUCCCCAAAGUUCUUCUGUUAACUUUAAAUCAGCAAAGAGAGAGAUCUCUGCCAAGCAUCAACUGCAAGAGCAUGUGGGUCAAAGUUACCAGCAGACACUCAAAGCACAUUCACUUUACUUCAACACUGCUUUAUAAAUUAUCUUAGAGAUGUUGUCAAGGUUGGUAUCAGAGGUGAGUGGUCAUGACUUCACGAUUUCUCAUCUUUCUGAAUGCACAGCGGCUGGGAGGUGGUGGCUCAUGCCUGUAAUCCCAGCACUUUGGGAGGCCGAGGUGGGCAGAUUGUUUGACCACAGGAGU
rnacentral:lncRNA from 1 species